UCCGGGUUAGCUCAGCGGUAGAGCAGUUGACUGUUAAUCAAUUGGUCGCUGGUUCGAAUCCAGCACCCGGAG
rnacentral:tRNA from 1 species